AAGUCUGCCUGGGUUGGACCCUAUGACGCAUGUGCUCGCUGGCCAGGUGCGCUGCACGAGCCAUAGCCACCCUGUCUAUUGGUUCAUGGGCUUUGUACAUGCGGCAUAUUGUCAUCAUCCAGCAGUCACGCGCCGAUCAUGCACACAGCUGUGCUGUGCAACAGCCUGC